GACGAACGCUGGCGGCGUGCCUAAUACAUGCAAGUAGAACGCUGAAGAGAGGAGCUUGCUCUUCUUGGAUGAGUUGCGAACGGGUGAGUAACGCGUAGGUAACCUGCCUUGUAGCGGGGGAUAACUAUUGGAAACGAUAGCUAUUACCGCAUAACAAUAGGUGACACAUGUCAUUUAUUUGAAAGGGCAAUUGCUCCACUACAAGAUGGACCUGCGUUGUAUUAGCUAGUAGGUGAGGUAACGGCUCACCUAGGCGACGAUACAUAGCCGACCUGAGAGGGUGAUCGGCCACACUGGGACUGAGACACGGCCCAGACUCCUACGGGAGGCAGCAGUAGGGAAUCUUCGGCAAUGGGGGCAACCCUGACCGAGCAACGCCGCGUGAGUGAAGAAGGUUUUCGGAUCGUAAAGCUCUGUUGUAAGUCAAGGACGAGUGUGAGAGUGGAAAGUUCACACUGUGACGGUAGCUUACCAGAAAGGGACGGCUAACUACGUGCCAGCAG
rnacentral:rRNA from 1 species